CUUAGUUUUUUCAAUUCCUUCUUGCUUUCUUGUAUAUACAAAAGGGAAAAGUGUUGUAUUGUAUAUAAAAGAAAAGUUUGUCGUUCUGCCGAAGCUGCUCUGUUUAUACUGGUGUUAUCAGGGCCAAAUAGUUUGCAUACAGGUUGAAUUUUCACUAUUGGAUGACAUUCAAUAGUUCUAUAUGUUAGCACAAAGGAGAUUUUAUUGUGCAACUUGCCGUCCUUCCACAAAUCAUAUUCCAAGAUAUAACAAUGACUAAGAUGUCAAUUUGAAAUUACCAUUACAGACAACAGUGGUUCGACAACAACGCUAAUCACAGAUCAACCUGCUGAAACAAUGUUACAUUUCACUUCAGAAAAAGUUCACGACAUUCGUUCCACUAAGUAUAUAUUACGCCUAAUUAAAAUAAAAUACAAAAUAAAUACCUAUUGUUAACUAAUUUUUUCUUAUCCAUAAAAACGAAACAAAUGUUGCCUCUUCCAAAUAUGACAAAACAAUUAACUGGAAAGACAAUCACCAUUCAAGUCAAAAGGUCAUUUGCUAAAACUACUGGAAAAUUAAUUGUCUCAAUAUGCGGAAAAAGAGAACAUCAUCAGCGCACCACCGUCACCUGCUCCAAUGGACACAACAGGAAGCAGCAAAAGAAAGAUCGAAAAUCCUGUCACAAACAAAAAAGACAAACAAGAGGCCACUUCCCAUCACAAGCACGUUCUGAAGGUGAAAAUUGUCCCUCCAAAACACUAUAGUAAGUGAAAAGCCAUAUCGCCUACAUUUUGCAAUAUGAUUGGAGCCAUUUUUUGUCACUACAACAAGCAUAUGGACAAAGUUACUUUUCCCGUUCACUUCCAGGCGAUGCCAAUCACUAAAAUAUUGUCUUACAAUCUCGCUCACAGCAAGAGAAACAACACUUUGGCUGAUCUCCAACAUAAUGCACCACUUUCCUUUUGAUUAUGUAAAUAAAAUGUACAU